rnacentral:lncRNA from 1 species
UUGCAAUAUUUUUUUUAGUUUAAGUGUUACCUUUAAUGUCAUGUCACGUGUUUUAUUUAUUAUGUGUUACAUUUUAAUUAGUUUAAAUAUUUUGUUUCAAUACCGUUUGAUUUUUAUGUUUUCCAAAUUUAUUUUAUUUUUUUUCCGAGCAUUUUUAAUUUUGCUUGAUUAUGUUUUAUUUUCAUGCAUUUAGUGUAGUUUAAUUCUCGUCUCAAACACCUUCAAAAUCCUCCUACUCGUGUUUGAUCUAAUUCUGAACCGAAAUUUGGUCCUUGAGAGACGACCUAGGAGUCACUUCCUAGCUAUACUGCACAUUUCUAAUAUGCAAUUAAAUUUGUAUGGGUUGCGACACCCAUCAAAUUUUGGCGUCGUUGUCGGGGACCAACGGUUCGGUUUUAGGUCUUUGUUGUGUUAGUGUGUGUUGUGUUUUGUCUUGUGUUAUUAGUGUGUUGUUCCGUUUUGUGUUUCGUGUCAUGUGUGUUGCAUUUAGAUAGCUUUAGUUGCAUAUUUUCAUUCCAUUCUUCUUUUCCCCCUCCUUUCUACAUGUCUACCUAUGUUGGUUGUGUGAGUAAUGCUUAUUCUGCCUAUGAUUAUGAAUCUCCU